rnacentral:rRNA from 1 species
GGACGAACGCUGGCGGCGUGCUUAACACAUGCAAGUCGAACGGUGAAGCCCUUCGGGGUGGAUCAGUGGCGAACGGGUGAGUAACACGUGAGCAACCUGCCCCUGGCUCUGGGACAACCACUGGAAACGGUGGCUAAUACCGGAUACGACCCGCCUCGGCAUCGAGUGUGGGUGGAAAGUUUUUCGGCUGGGGAUGGGCUCGCGGCCUAUCAGCUUGUUGGUGAGGUGAAGGCUCACCAAGGCGACGACGGGUAGCCGGCCUGAGAGGGCGACCGGCCACACUGGGACUGAGACACGGCCCAGACUCCUACGGGAGGCAGCAGUGGGGAAUAUUGCACAAUGGGCGAAAGCCUGAUGCAGCGACGCCGCGUGAGGGAUGACGGCCUUCGGGUUGUAAACCUCUUUCAGCUCCGAAGAAGCGAAAGUGACGGUAGGAGCAGAAGAAGCACCGGCUAACUACGUG